rnacentral:rRNA from 1 species
CGGGACGGGUGAGUAACGCGUGGGUAACUACCCUGUACACACGGAUAACAUACCAAAGGUAUGCUAAUACGGGAUAAUAUAUUUGAGAGGCAUCUCUUGAAUAUCAAAGAUGAGCCAGUACAGGAUGGACCCGCGUCUGAUUAGCUAGUUGGUAAGGUAACGGCUUACCAAGGCGACGAUCAGUAGCCGACCUGAGAGGGUGAUCGGCCACAUUGGAACUGAGACACGGUCCAA